rnacentral:tRNA from 1 species
CAAAGAGUAUUUUAAAAUAAAAUAUUAAUUUUGGAGAUUAAUGAUGAUAAUUUUAUCUUCUUUGA